rnacentral:rRNA from 1 species
CUGACGGAGCGACGCCGCGUGGGAGAUGAAGUACUUCGGUACGUAAAUACCUUUUAUGAGGGAGGAAGUUUAUUGACGUUACCUCAUGAAUAAGGGGCUCCUAAUUCUGUGCCAGCAGGAGCGGUAAUACAGAAGCCCCAAGCGUUACCCGGAAUCACUGGGCGUAAAGCGUCUGUAGGUGGUGUUAUUAGUCGUAUGUUAAAUUCUCUGGCUCAACCAGAGGUCUGCAUACGAAACGGUAACACUAGAGAACAGGAGAGGUGCAUGGAACUAAUAGAGUAGGGGUGAAAUCCGUUGAUACUAUUGGGAACACCAAAAGCGAAGGCAGUGCACUGGCCUGAUUCUGACACUGAGAGACGAAAGCAUGGGUAGCGAAUGGGAUUAGAUACCCCAGUAGUCCAUGCCGUAAACGUUGCUUGCUGGCUUUUUGAGGCAUUGACCCUUGAGAGGCGAAGCUAACGCGUUAAGCAAGCCGCCUGGGUAGUACGAACGCAAGUUUAAAACUCAAAGGAAUAGACGGGGACUCGCACAAGCGGUGGAUCAUGUGGCUUAAUUCGUAAAUAAGCGAAAAACCUUACCUGGGUUAGAAACCUACACGACGAUAUCUUGAAAGAGAUAUUUCCUUCGGGCGGGUAGGCAGGUGAUGCAUGGCCGUCGUCAGUUCGUGGCUUGAGUUGUUCCCUUAAGUGGGGUAACGAACGCAACCCUCGUUGUCUGUUACAAGUUGUCAGACGAGACUGCUCUCUCACGAGAGAGGAAGGAGAGGAUGACGCCAGGUCCGCAUGUCCCUAGAUACCCAGGGCUGCACACGUGCUACAAUGGCUACUACAAUGGGUUGCA